rnacentral:ribozyme from 1 species
ACAUUGGAUAGCUGUUGCACCACAUACUUCGGCUGGAACUACGAUACUUGCAUGGGCAACCUGCCCGGAAUUUGCGCCCGAUCGCUGUUCUACCCCGAUUGGGAAGGUAGAAAUGAAGGCUGCAUCGAUGACGGGAACGAACCGACGUACAUGACUGAUAACGCGGU